UACGUAGGGUGCGAGCGUUGUUCGGAUUCAUUGGGCGUAAAGGGUGCGUAGGUGGCGUCGUAAGUCGGGUGUGAAAUUUCGGAGCUUAACUCCGAAACUGCAUUCGAUACUGCCGUGCUUGAGGACUGGAGAGGAGACUGGAAUUUACGGUGUAGCGGUGAAAUGCGUAGAUAUCGUAAGGAAGACCAGUGGCGAAGGCGGGUCUCUGGACAGUUCCUGACGCUGAGGCACGAAGGUCAGGGGAGCAAACGGG
rnacentral:rRNA from 1 species